CGGGGGGGGCAAGCGUUGUUCGGAAUUACUGGGCGUAAAGGGCCAGUAGGCGGCCAACUAAGUCGGAUGUGAAAUCCCCAGGCUUAACCUGGGAACUGCAUCCGAUACUGGAUGGCUUGAAUUCGGGAGAGGGAUGCAGAAUUCCAGGUGUAGCGGUGAAAUGCGCAGAUAUCAGGAGGAACACCGGUGGCGAAGGCGGGUCUCUGGGCCGUAACUGACGCUGAGGAGCGAAAGCGUGGGGAGCGAACAGG
rnacentral:rRNA from 1 species